rnacentral:rRNA from 1 species
GACGAACGCUGGCGGCGUGCUUAACACAUGCAAGUCGAACGGUGAAGCGCCUUCCUUUUUGGUGGGUGUGGAUGAGUGGCGAACGGGUGAGUAACACGUGAGUAACCUGCCCCCUUCUUCUGGAUAACCGCAUGAAAGUGUGGCUAAUACGGGAUAUUCUGGGUCUGUCGCAUGAUGGGUCUGGGAAAGAUAUUGUUUCGGUGGGGGAUGGGCUCGCGGCCUAUCAGCUUGUUGGUGGGGUGAUGGCCUACCAAGGCGGUGACGGGUAGCCGGCCUGAGAGGGUGGACGGUCACACUGUGACUGAGACACGGCCCAGACUCCUACGGGAGGCAGCAGUGGGGAAUAUUGCACAAUGGGCGCAAGCCUGAUGCAGCGACGCCGCGUGAGGGAUGGAGGCCUUCGGGUUGUGAACCUCUUUCGCCAGUGAAGCAGGCCUGCCUCGUUUGUGGGUGGGUUGACGGUAGCUUGAUAAGAAGCGCCGGCUAACUACGUG